rnacentral:rRNA from 1 species
UACGUAGGGGGCAAGCGUUGUCCGGAAUCAUUGGGCGUAAAGAGCGUGUAGGCGGCCCGAUAAGUCCGCUGUGAAAGUCCAGGGCUCAACCCUGGGAUGCCGGUGGAUACUGUCGGGCUCGAGUCCGGAAGAGGAGUGUGGAAUUCCUGGUGUAGCGGUGGAAUGCGCAGAUAUCAGGAGGAACACCGAUGGCGAAGGCAGGUCUCUGGGCCACUACUGACGCUGAGAAGCGAAAGCAUGGGGAGCGAACAGG